rnacentral:rRNA from 1 species
UGGUGCAGACAGCGAUGAGGGUCCACCUGUUCCCAUUCCGAACACAGAAGUUAAGCUCAUUUGCGCCGAAGAUACUUGGCUGGUAACGGCCCGGGAAAAUAGGUAAGUGCCAACAUU